CCCCACUCUCUCUCUUGCUCCCUGACCCAUGGACCGGAGCAGCAGAAUUGGCGCCCAAUGUGGGGCAGCAAGAACGAGAGACCCAGUGAGGGACUCUACCAGAAGAAGAGUCGACUGAAAAUUCUGAAGUGAAACAGAGACCCUGACCUGUGGACUGGAGCAGCAGAAUGGGCUGUUACAAAGUGGCGCUCAAUGUGUGGCAGCAAGAAAGAGAGACUCAGUGAGGGACAUUACUGGAAGAAGGGUCUACUGAAAAUUCAGAAGUGAAACAGGAAACCUGAGAUUAUUGCUCAUCAUACCUGACCACCUGCUCCAGAAACACAUGUCUACAGACCAAGAUGAACACAAAUAGCAUGAACACAGCUACUCACUCAAAAGAAGUGUUUUGCUGUAUGUAAGAGCCUGGAGAAAACACCUCAGAAGACAAAAAUAAAGGAAAAAUCUGUUAGGAGAAAAUAAUGACUCAGAUCUUUGAUUAAAUUUUUUCUAGUAUUGUAUGCAUGCAUAAAAUGAUACUGCAAAUGAUUAAAAUAACUCUAUAUUGUUGUUUUUCUGUUAUUAAAAUUGAUUCUUAAAAUA